AGCUUUGCGCAGAGGCGGUACCAUGGCCAAUGAGGUAAAUCCGAGGCGUGGUUAUUGCUAGUUGAAAACUAUUCCCAAUACCCCGCGUUGCUAUCCAUAAUAGAUAGCAAACGCAAUUUUUACUCACCUCUGAGGAGG